rnacentral:rRNA from 1 species
GAUGAACGCUGGCGGCGUGCCUAACACAUGCAAGUCGAACGGGGUUGAUUUAUGGAAGUUUUCGGAUGGAAGUGAGUCAACUUAGUGGCGGACGGGUGAGUAACGCGUGGGCAACCUGCCCCAUGCCGGGGGAUACCGCCUGGAAACAGGCGCUAAUACCGCAUAAGCGCAUACAGCCGCAUGGCAGUAUGCGGAAAGCUCCGGCGGCAUGGGAUGGGCCCGCGCCCGAUUAGCCAGUUGGCGGGGUAACGGCCCACCAAAGCGACGAUCGGUAGCCGGCCUGAGAGGGCGGACGGCCACAUUGGGACUGAGACACGGCCCAA